rnacentral:sRNA from 1 species
UACUUGCCAUCUAAGGAAAGAAAGGUGCCAAUAUUACACAGCAAGUUUCAGCGACUACGCCAAGUACUAUGCACUUGUCUGCUAUGGCCCAGGCAUCCCCAUUUCUACCCUUCAUGAUGGACGCACUGAUCAAGCUACAUCACAUUGUUGCCACGUAUGAACGCCCUGAAAUUUGGAGGCUCUUUCCAUUUUCAACUGCUAUCAAGACAGUCCUCCUCUAUCCUGUAUUUGUGAUAUUGGUUCAAAAUAGUUCACAUCUCAAAGACAACCAGUUUUGCUCGCAGCAGAGUUGUCCAAGUAUCUAAUUGCUCUGAUACUCUUCCUGCUGGCUCUCCAUUAUCUUUUGAUUUACUAUUAAACAACAUUAUAGGGUUGGAGUUUUUGGAGGCCAGGGACAAUGAGGCAGAUGCCACUUUCUUCAGCACUCAUGCCUGUGAUUGUCCCUGGACAGCUUUGGUGACAAGUCAGGAGACUGCCUUGGGAUUACUUUGGCUGUCAGCUCAAUGGCUCAAGUGUAGGUGAAAAUAACAAGAAAAAAAAAAAAAACAGAAUCAAUUUGGGAACUCUGGACAGGACAGGCAUUGUGAUAAUGGGACUGUGAAUUUAGUUUCAUUUUAAGGUUUUUUUUUGAAAACUUGUGUCUAAUAAGGAAAUACUUUUAAGAAUAACAGAUUAUAUUUCUUAAUUUGACCAUCUCAGUCAGUGAGAUUGAUUUCAAGUCGACAAGGUUUUGUUUUAAUAGAAAUCACUAUUAGC